rnacentral:lncRNA from 1 species
CCCCAGCACAGCUUUCAUUCAAAUCAGCUUUUCCAAGGCCACUUUCGUCCUGAAGUCAAUGCAUGUAUUUGCUGUUUGACAGUAAACCCGCUCUGCCUUCUCCACGUCCAAGGCUGUGCAUUCGUCUAAUUAGUGUCGUGUAUGUUUUCCUUUUAUUUUUUCCAAUAAAAAAGCAGUGGGAUGAAAAUUGCUUUGAUAUAUAGCAGGUAACAUUGAAGCUAUUCCAUAGCACUUAAGUGUAGUGAAUACUGUGUCACCAAUCCUGAAAUCAAUUUAAUGUUUAAUGCAAAUCCAUUACAUGGUGCUAUUACAGGCUGACAAAAUGAUUUACACAAAUGUGACAACUUGGGCUCAAUUCACUCUGCUUUCCAACAGUGUAAACGCAUAGCAGUGUUUAUCUGCAUGAGAACUAUGCACUAAUCUAUCUGAAGAAAAAAACUAUAUCAACUUUGGUAUCUACUUUCCGUUUACUUCAAUCCUUGCCUUUUUGGUCAUUGUUAUAA